UUCUAUUGAUAUUGAAGCUAUUCAAAAUGACUAAGUUUUUUGUCAUGCCAACUCUUGUCCUUUUCAUUAUUUUUUCAAUUGUAACCCUGACAUGUCAAGCAGGCCAAUUAUGUACCAUAAUGAAACCUGAUCCUUCUUAUACUUGUGUCUAUGAGCAGUGUGAUCAAUGGUGCUCAUCUUAUAGUGGUUGGGCAAGAUGUGCGCCAGACGGAGGAUACAUGUCUAAAGCCAGAUGUUUUUGCACAUAUCCAUGUUAAGUCUAUAACAAAUAUAGCACAAUGCUCAUAAAUUAAAUGUUAAAUGUAAGAGCAUAUCAAAAUAAAUUUAAUAAAAUUAUGCAUUGAUAUUUUUCAAA